UACGUAGGGUGCGAGCGUUAAUCGGAAUUACUGGGCGUAAAGAGUGCGUAGGCGGUUCGUUAUGUCUGCUGUGAAAGCCCCGGGCUUAACCCGGGAAUGGCAGUGGAAACUGGCGGGCUUGAGUGUGGCAGAGGGGGGUGGAAUUCCGCGUGUAGCAGUGAAAUGCGUAGAGAUGCGGAGGAACACCGAUGGCGAAGGCAGCCCCCUGGGCUAACACUGACGCUGAGGCACGAAAGCGUAGGGAGCAAACAGG
rnacentral:rRNA from 1 species